CCUACGGGGGGCUGCAGUGGGGAAUAUUGGACAAUGGGGGCAACCCUGAUCCAGCCAUGCCGCAUGUGUGAAGAAGGCCCUCGGGUUGUAAAGCACUUUCAGUGAGGAAGAACGCCUGGUGGUUAAUACCCAUCAGGAAAGACAUCACUCACAGAAGAAGCACCGGCUAACUCCGUGCCAGCAGCCGCGGUAAUACGGAGGGUGCGAGCGUUAAUCGGAAUUACUGGGCGUAAAGCGCGCGUAGGUGGCUUGAUAAGCCGGUUGUGAAAGCCCCGGGCUCAACCUGGGAACGGCAUCCGGAACUGUCAAGCUAGAGUGCAGGAGAGGAAGGUAGAAUUCCCGGUGUAGCGGUGAAAUGCGUAGAGAUCGGGAGGAAUACCAGUGGCGAAGGCGGCCUUCUGGACUGACACUGACACUGAGGUGCGAAAGCGUGGGUAGCAAACAGGAUUAGAUACCCGAGUAGUC
rnacentral:rRNA from 1 species